rnacentral:lncRNA from 1 species
GCUUCUCCUUAACACUGGAAGGCACAGCCACUUGUUACUCCCAUGCCCACCUCGAGAGCCAGCCCCUCCCUGCCUCAUCACUGGGGGAGGGGUACUGUCUCUGGACCACGCUGGAUGCAUGCACCUACAACCAUUUUCCGGGGCCCCCCGACACACCUAACACGCAAAUAAAGCCACAGCAGAGCCCAUGGGAGUGUGUUGAGUAAGAGCCACAUUUAUUUCUUAAUUGGACAGAGCCUCAAGUGCACACACAGUACAGGAGCCUAGGGCUAACACUCGGGUGUAAGACAUCGGGACGGGCAUCGUGACGUCGGGACGGCAGCUAUGACAUGGGGUCUGGGGUGUGCCCACAGCAAUCACAUAUGUACAAGCCAGGGACGCGCCCUCUGAGCCACAGGGGAACCAGGGGACGGACUAACUACAGGAAGCACAGGCCCAGGGAGAAACGCAGGUCGCCACAGCUGCUGUCCGUCUGGGGGACCGCACGGCCCGGCACCGGGGGUAAGGGAGUGUGCCUUCCGUGGUCCCCACAUGGGUGAGGCUGGCAUAGGACCAGUGCAGCAGCACAGUAAACACCUGUGACAUCAGCCCCACCAGGGCCCCAGGUGCUGGGGACUCCAGGGACCAGGGUUGACAGGGAGGGCCACCUCAUCACAGCCGUCCUGGGUGGGGGAGUCUGUGCCUGUGCAGCCAGUGAAUGAAACAUUGGCAUCUUCUGAGCGAUGACUCCCAGUGGGAG